UAGCUAUUUGGGUGGUGCCCUCACAGGGCUCAGGCCCUGCCUCCUGCCUCUGGCGGUAGAGAAAGCAUCUGGGGGUGUCUUAAGGGGUGCUACUGCUCAAAGCUACUCUUGCUGGCCAGGGAUGGGGAAGGCGAGACAUCCUGGGACCCCUGUCAUGCCCUCCGCUCAGACACCACCACGUCACUGAAGGGUGCAAACCUCGCCCCAAACAGCUUUUCUUUGCCCUGUUUGCUGCAGUAAAAAACUGUGACACGGUUGCCAAUAUUAAGAAAAAUGAAAAUUCCACCUAAAAUUCUCAUUGUCUACUUUCUCUUGAAAACCAACUACCAGCAGCUCUGGUACCAUUCAGCCCAUUCCCACGAGGCCAAGCAGCAGCGGCUCUGUUCACUGUGUCACUGGGUUGGUCCCCACGGGCACCUGAGUUUUCUGCCCUGGAGAAGGGCACAGGCUAUGGGGUGGGAUGGGCCAAGCCUCCACUCUCAGAAGCUGCGUGGUCUCACCUGGUAUCUGCCUUCCUGACGCUCUUUUCCCAUCUCUAGCACCCCUGAUUUGCCCUAGGAGGACUAAAAUGAGACGGCCACGUUUUCAGGAGCAUAGUAGGGCUUGGAAGUGGUUCAUUCCUUCCUGAAGGGGAAGGAGAGCAGGGGUGGUGGCUUCCUGCCCCCCAGGGCAUCCUGCACUUGAACCCAUCCCAGUGGAUGCCGCCUUGUCACUGAUCUGUUUGUACCUGUUUCUCCAGUGAGGCGGGGACCAGGUCCCUGAGGGCCAGGGCUGCAUCUCCCUUUCAGACCUGACUGCGGCCUCCUAUGCGCCACACUGAGGGGUGGAGGGUUACCAGGGAAGAGGAGUGCAUGGAAGGCCCUGCCUGAGUGAAGUCACAGAGGAGGAAUCGCCACGUUGCCAGAAUAUGCCACAGGAAGCCAAGCAGCCCUCGAGGGCUCCUAGGUGCGGUUCUGGCCUUAAAAAGAGGACUUGGUCAGCGUAGGCGAUGGACAGCUGCCCGAUGGGCCAGCUGCAGUCACGAGCCCAGAGCCUGGCCAGGACAGAGGGAUGGAGAGGAUGCCUGGUGCCCACCGAGGGACAGACCCACAGCCUUCUGGAGGCCACCCAGGCAACUGAGGUGGGCAGCUCAAGUUGCAGCCCUGGGUCCUGGAACCAGAGACGAGCAGGGCACAAAGGGCAACUCCAUAGCAAGAAAAGGCUUCGAAGUUGGUGAAAUCCUGGCCUCAUAACCAGCUGUAGGGAAAAACUGAGGCACGGAGAGGGAGAAAUGAUAAUCUGAAGUCACUCAGUUGGGAUGGAUGGCAUGGCAGCUGAAUCCUGGCAGGCUGCCCAGAGGUGAGUCCUCUCAGAACCGCCUAAAGACCAGGCCCCAGGUGGAAGCCCUUUCUAAGGGCCUAAAGAUUGCUGAGCCCUUGGGUAGCGCUCAUCUGCCAAGCUGGGCUGGGCACCAUGCAGGAGGCCUGGGCCACUGGGAAGAAGGGAGUCUUCUGACGCCUGGACAGCCUCAUCCUCCUGGGCUAGAAAUGGGAAGGAAGCCCACAGCGCUGUCCAUUUCCACCUUCCCAUGCUGUGCAGUGCCCACUCCAUGCCAAGUCCUGCUCUAGAGGCCAUGCAAACAGCAAGGUGGCUGAGAAAGAACAGUGGGUACUUGGAUGGCUGCGUGGCACAAGCAAAGGCCCGGAGCUGCGAGAGAAGCCAGCAGGCUCGAGAACUGCUGGUGGGUGUGGAGGUCAAGGUCAUGGGCUCCUCUCAGCAGUCAGGCCCGACAGGGCCUUCUCAGCCCUGAUUUUGCCAGACUCACCCUGCAGGAAGUCCCCAGGAAGGGUCCCAGCUCCAUGCUUGGCUCCAGCCAGAAAAACCUUGGCAACUGUUUCUUUUGGAGUCAGUUUGGGGUGUGGGGU